CAGGAAGUUCCACCAUCACGUACAGACGUGCAGCAGAGAGAAGCAUCAUUUCAUCCAGCAGAGACAGAAUGACGCCACGACUGCAGCUCUUCAUCACUUUACUGCUUCACUUUGAAGCAGGAAUCAGUGGAUGGAUCCAUCUCUAUCACAGAGCUGGAGAUGACGUCGUUUUACCGUCUGACGUUGAUUUUUCACAUUACCAAUGUUCUGGUGUUGACUGGUCUCAUUGGUACGAUCGAUAUGGAAAUUACAUCGUUCGUAAUGGAACUAUUAAGAAGACGUCACAUGGAGCUGACAGGAUGAGUUUGAGCAGUAACUGCUUUCUGAUCAUCAACAACAUCACUGCUGAAGAUGCUGGUUAUUACACCUGUGGGGUUAGAAAUUUUGGUUCCACAUCUGUGUUUCUGAAUGUUUUAACAGUCUCUCCAUCUCCACCAGAUGUGGAUCCAGGAAGGGAUGGAGAUGUGACAUUAC